UCCAUGUGCGUCCCUCCCGUAGCUGCGCGCUAGAUAGAAGAGGACUACCUUCCCCGAUAGAGGCGUACCGUUCUUUGGUCAAGGAUAUAUGAGUAGCUGCGCUCCCCUGCUAGAACAAGCUCCCAAGGUCUAUUAUUGCAAAAAUAUGUUUAGUCCUUUGAAGUAUUGUUAAAUUACAGUUUUUUAAAUG
rnacentral:snRNA from 1 species